UCAUUUGGGGCCUUAUUUUAUUCAAGCUCAGGUAAAGAGCAAUUGAGUUUCUCCUUGGAUCCUCAAGUACCAUUUUUAUUAAACUGACUUUUUCAGGCAGUGGUGAAAUCUCUAGAACUCUGAAGGACAGGAAGACCCACAGCGUGUGGAAGCUCUGACAACCAAGCCCAGAGGAAGAGGACUUAGGCAGGCUUGAGACUGAAGCAUCCGGUCUCAAGAACUGUGACCUAUAGUAGCAGUGCUAACCUGAAUACCAGCUGCUGGGGAGGAAGAGCAGAGGGUUCUUCUUUUCCUACUUAGGCCUGGAAGUUUCCUGAAUGGCAAUGUGGGACCCCAAAUGCAGAAAUGAAAUCUGGUUACGUUACCUGUUCAAAUUUCCAGCCAUCAGACAUGGUGGAGACCAUCUGAGUCAACUCCUCUUCCUGGCACUGUAACA